UGCAACAUUGGAAUAGUACCGUUCCGAGCAAAAAGUAAGUUCCGAGUGUAAAAGGUGCCGACGAGUCUCCUGUCAGAGCCAAUAGACGGUAAAAUAGAUUGCACCCAACAUACGUUAACCGUGCCGUUCGGAAUGCUCAGGAUAAACAGGAAGUCCGUUAAUAAUAGGGACAGCCAAUAAAUACCUUCCGACGGUGCUGGUUCGUCAUAAAGAGUAGAUAUUCCGUUUCCACAAUUAAUGACUAUGGACGAAUUGAACAUCGAUCUGUGCAAUCUUUAUCUCUGAGGGACGAGAAAGGGCUCAACCCCAGCAAGUCAUCCAACAUGUUAGUGCUAUUACCAUCUCUAUCCACGUUUAUUUUGCCAUAUUUGUGGAUCUAAUGUACACAUCGUCCCAUAAACUAUCGCAUGAUACGAGAAUUAACAUUUAGUGCAUGCUAAUCUGGUGAUCCUUAUUACUGUGAUCAUGUGACAACACUGGUGAUCGUGCUGUACAAAUGAUCGCAACGGCGAUUAAUACUGGAGAGUCGCAAUUGGAACCAUUGCACAAACAUGUGAGAAACCGAGGCUUAAAUUGCAUAUAUUUCGGACGGUAAUUGUAUUUGCUACUCGGAGCAGAUUAGAAAUGCAUCGAAUUCACAACAAUAACCUCAUUUGUGGUGAUCUUUGUGAUGCAGUUCCUUCUGUUGGCAAUCUUCAUAAAAGCGCUACCGAUUUCAACCUAUUUUUGUUUGGUGGUAAAGCCGUUACACUAAAACAAAUAUGCUGGAGCAGGUUUUUAUCUAGUGAUUGAAAAUCAUGAAUAUUCUUAUGCACAGGAUCUAUUUUUUAUAGACUCCUACCUUCUUUAAAAAAAGUGAUUUAGCUAAUUAAAGAAAUUGGAUUUUGAAACAUCUGGGCGUCUAAAGCACACUAUUAAAAUGUAUGUAAAGCCUUAUAUUCAGUUAAUACA